rnacentral:rRNA from 1 species
CCUGGUUGAUCCUGCCAGUAUCAUAUGCUUGUCUCAAAGAUUAAGCCAUGCAUGUGCAGUAUGAACCAAUUUGAACUUGAAACUCGAAUGGCUCAUUAAAUCAGUUAUAGUUUGUUUGAUGUACGUCACUCGAUAACCGUAGUAAUUCUAGAGCUAAUACGUGCAAAAACCCCGACUUCUGGGAGGGGCGCAUUUAUUAGAUAAAAGGCUGACCGGGCUCUGCUCGCUGAUCCGAUGAUUCAUGAUAAUCUCGCGGAUCGCACGGCCUUCGCCGCGACGCAUCAUUCAAAUUUCUGCCCUAUCAACUUUCGAUGGUAGGAUAGGGCCUACCAUGGUGGUGACGGUGACGAGAAUUAGGGUUCGAUUCCGGAGAGGGAGCCUGAGAAACGGCUACCACAUCCAAGAGAAGCAGCAGGCGCGCAAAACCCAAUCCUGACACGGGGAGUAGUGACAAUAAAUAACAAUACCGGCGCAUUAGUGUCUGGUAAUUGAAUGAGUACAAUCUAAAUCCCUUAACGAAUCCAUUGAGAGGCAAGUCUGGUGCAGCCGCCCAGCCGCGUAAUUCCAGCUCCAUAGCGUAAUUUAAGGUUGCAGUUAAAAAGCUCGUAGUUGACCUUGGCCGGGUCGGCCGGUCCGCACUCAGCACCGACCUACUCGACCCUUCGCCGCAUCCGCUCCUAGCCAAUGCCGGUCGUGUUUCCGGCAUCUUACUUUGAAGAAAUUAGAGUGCUCAAGCAAGCCAUCGCUCUGGAUACAUUAGCAUGGGAUAACAUCAUAGGAUUCCGUCCUAUUGUGGCCUUCGGGAUCGGAGUAAUGAUUAAUAGGGACAGUCGGGCAUUCGUUUUCAUAGUCAAGGUGAAAUUCUUGGAUUUAUGAAGACGAACAACUGCGAAAGCAUUUGCCAAGGAUGUUUUCAUUAAUCAAGAACGAAAGUUGGGGCUCGAAGACAUCAAUACCUCCUAGUCUCAACCAUAAACGAUGCGACCAGGGAUCGGCGGAUGUUGCUUAUAGGACUCCGCCGCACCUUAUGAGAAAUCAAAGUCUUUGGGUUCCGGGGGAGUAUGGUCGCAAGGCUGAAACUUAAAGGAAUUGACGGAAGGCACCACCAGGCGUGAGCCUGCGGCUUAAUUUGACUCAACACGGGAAACUUACCAGGUCCAGACAAGCAAGAUUGACAGACUGAGAGCCUCUUCUUGAUUCUAUGGUGGUGCAUGCUCUUAGUUGUGGAGCAUUUGUCUGGUUUAAUUCCGUUAACGAACGAGACCUCAGCCUGCUAACUAGCUAUGCGGAGCCAUCCUCCGCAGCUAGCUUCUUAGAGGACUAUCGCGUUUAGGCGACGGAAGUUUAGGCAAUAACGGUCUGUGAUGCCCUUAGAUGUUCUGGGCCGCACGCCGCUACACUGAUUAUUCAACGAGUAUAUAGCCUUGGCCGACAGCCCGGGUAAUCUUGGGAAAUUUCAUCGUGAUGGGGAUAGAUCAUUGCAAUUGUUGGUCUUCAACGAGGAAUGCCUAGUAAGCGCGAGUCAUCAGCUCGCUUGACUACGUCCCUGCCUUUGUACACACCCCGUCGCUCCUACCGAUUGAAUGGUCCGGUGAAGUGUUCGGACGCGGCGACGGGGGUUCGCCGCCCCCGACGUCGCGAGAAGUCCAUUGAACCUUAUCAUUUAGAGAAGAGAAGUCGUAACAAGGUUUCCGUAGGUGAACCUGCGGAAG